rnacentral:rRNA from 1 species
CACGUAGGGCGCAAGCGUUGUCCGGAAUUAUUGGGCGUAAAGAGCUCGUAGGCGGUCUGUUGCGUCUGCUGUGAAAACUCGGGGCUUAACCCCGAGCCUGCAGUGGAUACGGGCAGACUAGAGGUAGGUAGGGGAGAAUGGAAUUCCCGGUGUAGCGGUGAAAUGCGCAGAUAUCGGGGAGGAACACCGGGUGGCGAAGGCGGUUCUCUGGGCCUUACCUGACGCUGAGGAGCGAAAGCGUGGGGAGCGAACAGG